GGGCAACCUGGCGGGAGCGGCGAACGGGUGAGGAAUACAUCGGAACGUGUCCGUAGUGGGGGAUAGCCCGGCGAAAGCCGGAUUAAUACCGCAU
rnacentral:rRNA from 1 species